AAAAUAACGAGCGCGAAGCGCGAGUGAUUUUUCCUGAAAAACUUGACGACUUUAUUUGUUUGCAGGGAACCUUGAGGGAAAUGCCAGAUAAUUUUGAAGCUCGUGUGGUAUUCGGGGGAUUAUUUUUCCGUCCCAAAUGUCGGCCACAACCUGUCAGUUUGACGUAGCAACGACCAGAGAAAAUAUUCAAAAAAAAUUAUCAGUAUUAGGCCGGCAGCACACAUCCGGUUUCCGGAUACGGUUUCCUGAUCAGGAAUUAAGAUUCGGGAUUCCGUGUCACUAGCGCACACAUUCGGUUUUUUUCAUUCUGAAUUUACAUGGCCAAACGCACGGAGAAAAUUUUAAACCGAAUGUCAGGUUUU